rnacentral:rRNA from 1 species
CCUAUGGGGGACAGCAGUGAGGAAUAUUGGUCAAUGGGCUUACGCCUGAACCAGCCAAGUCGCGUGAGGGAAGACUGCCCUAUGGGUUGUAAACCUCUUUUGUCAGGGAGCAAUUGGCGCUACGUGUAGCGUUAUCGAGAGUACCUGAAGAAAAAGCAUCGGCUAACUCCGUGCCAGCAGCCGCGGUAAUACGGAGGAUGCGAGCGUUAUCCGGAUUUAUUGGGUUUAAAGGGUGCGUAGGCGGAUUUUUAAGUCAGCGGUAAAAUGUCCGGGCUCAACCCGGGCCGGCCGUUGAAACUGGGGAUCUUGAGUGGGCGAGAAGUAUGCGGAAUGCGUGGUGUAGCGGUGAAAUGCAUAGAUAUCACGCAGAACUCCGAUUGCGAAGGCAGCAUACCGGCGCCCGACUGACGCUGAGGCACGAAAGCGUGGGGAUCGAACAGGAUUAGAUACCCGAGUAGUC